rnacentral:tRNA from 1 species
GGGGGCGGAUGGGGCCUGGUGGCUCCUGCGGUCUUCAAAACCGUCCGAGCGGCGUUAACCCGUCGCUGGUGGGUUCGAUUCCUACACGCUCCCGCCA